AUUAUAUAGCAAAAUAUCUAGUAAAAAAUGAAGAAAUAAAAACUGACAAUGAUAUAUGCCCAGAUCUACCAAGAAGUUUAAUAAAUAAUAAAAAUAUAGCAGAAAAAGAAAUAAUAUUAGGAGUUAGAAAAAUAAAAAUAGAAUUCGAAGUAAAGGAAGAAAUGCAAAAAGCAGAUAUAAUAUUAGGAAUAAAAUGGUUAGAACAAGUAAAACCAUAUAAUAUAGAACAUACACAAUUAACCUUAACAUAUAACAAAGAAAAGUUAUUCUUAAAAAGAGCCUUAACAUGAAAUGAAGAUAUAUGUAUUAAUGAAGAUAGUAGUAGAAGGAUAUUACAGUAGAUAUUAUACGCCUAUGAUAGAUACAGGAGC
rnacentral:lncRNA from 1 species